GAGACACGUAUCCAACCUGCCGUCUACUCUUGGACAGCCUUCUGAAAGGAAGAUUAAUACAAGAUGGCAUCAUGAGUCCACAUGUUCACAUGAUUAAAGGUAUUCCGGUAGACGAUGGGGAUGCGUUCCAUUAGAUAGUAGGCGGGGUAACGGCCCACCUAGUCUUCGAUGGAUAGGGGUUCUGAGAGGAAGGUCCCCCACAUUGGAACUGAGACACGGUCCAA
rnacentral:rRNA from 1 species